rnacentral:rRNA from 1 species
AUUGAACGCUGGCGGCGUGGAUAAGACAUGCAAGUCGGACGAGAUUUUUCGUUGUAGCAAUACGAUGGAAAGUUUAGUGGCGAACGGGUGCUUGACACGUGGGCAACCUGCCGAGAAGUGGGGGAUAGCUCGCCGAAAGGCGAAUUAAUACCGCAUGUGAUUAGAGAGGACAUCCUUUCGAAAUUAAAGUCGGGGCAACCUGACGCUUUUGUGGGGCCCGCGGCCUAUCAGCUAGUUGGUGAGGUAACGGCCCACCAAGGCUUUGACGGGUAGCUGGUCUGAGAGGACGACCAGCCACACUGGGACUGAGACACGGCCCAGACACCUACGGGUGGCAGCAGUCGAGAAUUUUUGACAAUGGGGGAAACCCUGAUCGAGCGACGCCGCGUGGAGGAUGAAGGUCUUCGGAUUGUAAACUCCUGUCAUUGGGGAACAAUGCGUGACGGUUAACUGCCGUUGCGUUGAUAGUACCCGAAGAGGAAGAGACGGCUAACUCUGUGCCAGCCGCCGCGGUAAGAC